rnacentral:lncRNA from 12 species
GCCCUUCCUUAGGGGGUAAAAGCAACGCGGGGCCUGGCGGCGGCGCGGCCCGGGGGGGGGGGGGGGGGGGGGGGGGGGGGGGGGGGGGGGGGGGGGGCCCACAGCUCAUAUGAGGCUCAGCUGUGGCUGUCCCUGGGCUUUUGGAGCUGCUGAACACACGGGAGGAUGGUACAGCCCUCGGGAUGGCCACCAAGAGAGAUGGGCAGAGCUGAUGUGCCACCAGGCUGCCACACGGGCACCACCGUGGGCACAGGCAGGGACAGCUGUGGGUUUAUUUUCUGAUCCUGCCCAGCCGUGCAAAGGGGGCUGGAUCCCAGGGGAUGGAUCCCAAGGGCUGGAUCCCAGGGAUGGAUCCCAGGGAUGGAUCCCAGGGGCUGGAUCUCAUGGGCUGGAUCCCAGGGAUGGAUCCCAGGGGCUGGAUCUCAUGGGCUGGAUCCCAGGG